rnacentral:rRNA from 1 species
UAGGGAAUCUUCGGCAAUGGACGGAAGUCUGACCGAGCAACGCCGCGUGAGUGAAGAAGGUUUUCGGAUCGUAAAGCUCUGUUGUAAGAGAAGAACGAGUGUGAGAGUGGAAAGUUCACACUGUGACGGUAUCUUACCAGAAAGGGACGGCUAACUACGUGCCAGCAGCCGCGGUAAUACGUAGGUCCCGAGCGUUGUCCGGAUUUAUUGGGCGUAAAGCGAGCGCAGGCGGUUAGAUAAGUCUGAAGUUAAAGGCUGUGGCUUAACCAUAGUAGGCUUUGGAAACUGUUUAACUUGAGUGCAAGAGGGGAGAGUGGAAUUCCAUGUGUAGCGGUGAAAUGCGUAGAUAUAUGGAGGAACACCGGUGGCGAAAGCGGCUCUCUGGCUUGUAACUGACGCUGAGGCUCGAAAGCGUGGGGAGCAAACAGGAUUAGAUACCCUGGUAGUCCACGCUGUAAACGAUGAGUGCUAGGUGUUAGACCCUUUCCGGGGUUCAGUGCCGUAGCUAACGCAUUAAGCACUCCGCCUGGGGAGUACGACCGCAAGGUU